rnacentral:rRNA from 1 species
GGGUUGUGAGGUUAAGCGACUAAGCGUACACGGUGGAUGCCCUGGCAGUCAGAGGCGAUGAAGGGCGUGCUAAUCUGCGAUAAGCGCCGGUAAGGUGAUAUGAACCGUUAUAACCGGCGAUACCCGAAUGGGGAAACCCAGUGUGAUUCGUCACACUAUCAUUAACUGAAUCCAUAGGUUAAUGAGGCGAACCGGGGGAACUGAAACAUCUAAGUACCCCGAGGAAAAGAAAUCAACCGAGAUUCCCCCAGUAGCGGCGAGCGAACGGGGAGGAGCCCAGAGCCUGAAUCAGCAUGUGUGUUAGUGGAA